CGGACCGAGGGGUGCUGCGACGGAGUCCACACGCUCCGCCACGCUCGAUCCGCGAUGCCGAGCAAGGGCGCCCUCCCGAU
rnacentral:ncRNA from 1 species